GGGCCGGCAGGGAGAGGCGGCCAUGCUGCGGGAGCUGCGGCGGCGCUGGGGCUCGUACAAGUACCGCUUCGUGCCCUGGCUCGCCCUCAACCUCCGCCGCCAGCGCAGGACCCUUCGAUAUGUUCCUGACAACUGUCAAGACAAAAUUAUUGCUGAUGAAGCCGUCUUUGAAACACUACUCAAAACAUUUAAAGCUCUGUUCAUAAAUGACUUCAGUAGGCAAGCAGAUAUUCUGGCCUUACUUCCAGAAGUCAAGUGUCAAUAUCUGGAAUUACUUACUGUGGAGCAGAAGCGGUCAAAAGUAAAUUCUUGUAACCAUCAGAGUCAGCACCUAUUUAGUCCUGAGGAAGUUUUGUUUAACACGCUUGGGUUCACUGUUAGCAGAGACCGGAGUUCCCUGGUGUCUGCUGGAACUGGAGUCUUUGUUACCAGAGGCUUUGUACCAAAAGGGACGGUUGUAUCUAUGUAUCCUGGUACAGUAUACAGAAAGCAUGAGCCCAUCUUUUUCCAGUCCCUUGGCAAUCCCUUUAUUUUUAGGUGCAUUGAUGGUGUCCUUAUUGAUGGGAAUGAUAAAGGACUGUCAAGAUCAGUGUAUAGGUCUUGCAGCAGAAGAGAUCAACUUGGCCCUUUGCAAAUGAGUGAUGAGAGCUGGCUCACAGCCACCCCGCAAAACCCACUGGCAGUGGGACAGUAUGUCAACAACUGCUCACAUGAAAAAGCAGCAAAUGUGUGUUAUCAAGAGUUUGAUGUGCCAGGACAUUUUCCAGUAGAACUGAAACAGUAUCUUCCAAACAUCGUCUACAGCCAUGACAUAGAGAGGUUGGCAGCAAAUGAAAGAGCUCAUAGAUUUCUCUGAUACAAGGCAUAUUGCAUGUGUAAAGAAAAGACAAACAUGGUUGAAAAAUAACAAAUCAUGUGAAGAUGAGUUACACAAAUGUGUGCAAUUGUAUGGGAGAGUUACCUCUCUGAAUAGACUAAUUUUAAUUACAAGACUUCAUUACUUUUUCCACAUUUUCAUAAAUGACAUCAGCUCUGAAGACAAGUUUUGCAAGCAGUUGUUGCACUAUAGUGCAAUUCUUCUGAAGCCCAUAAAGCACUAGUUGUACUUUGUCUUACAGUGCUGAGGCUUUUCAGUAUAUAUCUCAAAUCUGUUUCAGCCUUGACUAAAGCCCUUCUGAGAUAAUUCAGAAUUUAGACUUCUUACUCUCUUCUCCAUGUCUUCUGAUUAGGUGACAAAUAAGCAGAUGAAUUUGCAAGAAGAAACUUAAAAUUGUAUUGAGACAAGUGAAAUACUAUGCAAUAUAAAGGCAUAGACUUAUAGUUACAGUAUAAUUAGUAAAAUUACAACAUCCUGGUUAUGACUUGAAAGUACACCUUUUUUCAGAAAUUGGAGCACUUGGAAAUCUUUCUCAGAUAAUCUUCAUUUCAAGGAUGUAUAAGAAUUUUAGAGCAGAUCAUCUGAACUUUGAAUGUAAUUCUAGAGUUAUUUAAGUACUCUGAAAUUUCACUGGAGAAAGUUACAGUUCAUAUUGGAAAAGCGGCUUUUCUGAUUAAACUUGGAGUUUGUUGAGUCAAGGUUAAAGAUGCACUUGGAAUCUGCAGAUAAUUAGGUAAUGCUAAUAAAAUAAGCAAUAGGACUGAAUUCUCAGGAAGCCUGGAUGUUGUACUUGAAGCGCAAAAGCCCAUAAACUAUGGGACUGCUUCAGGAAGGGGCAAUUUUGCUCUUGCUUGGAAUCUGUCCAAGAAAAUACCGUCUUCUGAUCAUCAUUUCUCCCAGUGUACAGCCCCAGAUGAAAGAUCCCAUCUGCUUCUAGCCACUUGAGGUGUGUAGUUCUUGUCACUCUCAGAGACAUCAAGGAAGGAGAAGAACUUUUUUCAAAUUACUACACUAUUGUCAGCUGAAUUAAUAGAUUCAAAACUGAAGAAGUCUGUGUCAAUAAAAUAUGUACAUUGUUUCAGUAUGUACUUCAUCAUCAUUUUUGUAUAAGAGGGAGCUGUAGCUAUACCAUCCAGAGAGAAAAGCUGUAGGCUUGAAUUUCUCUUAAAAUAGUCUGCAUUUGAUGCACAGAUGAAGAUUUAACCAUUUGCAUCAUUAGGUUCUCAGCUGUCUGCUGUUGUUGAUAUUUGUACAUAUUGGUGUUCACCUGUCCAUGAGGUAGAUCAUAAAAUAAAAACCUAAUUUCUGGACAUACCAUUUAAUCUA